UUCAAAACAUCGCCAUCGAGCCCCUGGUUCUCAGCCACCUACAUCUUCAAAACAUCGCCAUCUCGUUCUUUCUCUACACCAUAAUCUUUCACCGCCGACGAGCCCUUGUUUCCCAGCCACCAUAAUUCCGAGAUUACAUCCUCAAAACAUAUAAAGGGUUCAUAUAAUUAAACAAGAAUUCUGGGUUAAAGAUCUUUUUAGUUGCUGGAUGUACAUUUAAUUCGUGGAUUUGUGGUUGAUUUGCCCCGAUUUUGUGAAGGUGAUGUGUAUAUGGUUGGCUUCAUCUGAUUAAUUCCGACGAAUAAUUGUUGAUCGCCAUCAUUGGUAGCCAAAUGUUGGGAAGUCUAGUCUGCUGAAUUCAUGGAUGAAAGAGCAAUCGUUACAGACAUUGCUGGAACAACACGGGAUGCCGUGGAAGCCAAUGUGACGGUUCAAGGUAUCCCGGUCACACUACUCGAUACAGCGGGCAUCAGAGAAACAUAUGCUAUUUUGUGGAGAAGAUAGGAAAAUGGUAUUCUUAACAGAGCCUGGCAUAGGUCUAAUGUACUUCCAUAUGAAAGCUUUGGCGGAAAGGCGUGUUUGACACGUCUAAGGAAAAAGUAUGCUGUGAAGUUAAACGAAGACGACGAGGAAGAACAAAAUGAAGAAGACAUAGAGAUAGAAUAGGAAAGCGAAGCCAACAGUAGCGGAAUUUAGAAGAUGCGUCGAAAACACACAAGAUCAUAGUGCUGUUUUCUUUUUUACUCUUUAUAACAAUUACAUUGGAGACUGUUUUAAAAUGCUUUGCCUAUUAGUUUGACUACAUCUUUCGUU
rnacentral:lncRNA from 1 species